UCGCAUCUGUGCAUGCAGCAUAUCAAUAAAGCGGAGGAAAAGAAACUAACAAGGAUUCCCUCAGUAACGGCGAGUGAAGCGGGAAGAGCUCAAAUUUGAAAUCUUGAAAGGGUUCACCUUUACGAAUUGUAGUUUAAAGAAGUGUUUUCUGUUACGAUUUGGUAAUAAGUUCUUUGGAAUAGGACAUCAUAGAGGGUGAGAAUCCCGUAUAUUGACCUUGGAUUUGUCAGCUUUGUGAUACACUUUCAAAGAGUCGGAUUGUUUGGGAAUGCAGUCCAAAAUGGGAGGUAAAUUUCAUCUAAGGCUAAAUAUUGGCGAGAGACCGAUAGCGAACAAGUACCGUGAGGGAAAGAUGGAAAGAACUUUGAAAAGAGAGUUAAAUAGUACGUGAAAUUGUCAAAAGGGAAGCGUUUAACACCAGUGUUGUUUUCUGAAAAUCAACCUCUGUUAGCUUUAUGCAUGUUUGUUUAGACCUAAUCAGCUAUCUUGCAUGUUCUAUUGUUUGCAGUGGUGCACUUUUCAGUUUACAGGUCAACAUCAGUUUUUUUUACCGUAAAAAAGUUAAAGAAAGGUAGCUCAUGGCUCCGGUCGUGAGUGUUAUAGUCUUUUUCCUAUGCGGUAGGAGAGACUGAGGUCUGCAGUGUAGGCUAUUUGGCUAGAUACUCAGGUGCUAUGUGAUACCAUUUCAUAAACAACUUGUUGAUUAUGUUUUGUCUAUUGCAUACUCGCUUGUACUAUCAUACCUACGCUUAGGAUGUUGACGAUCAGCUGAGCGCG
rnacentral:rRNA from 1 species